rnacentral:rRNA from 1 species
AGACCUUCGGGUCUAGUGGCGCACGGGUGCGUAACGCGUGGGAACCUGCCCCUUGGUUCGGAAUAACACAGAGAAAUUUGUGCUAAUACCGGAUGAUGACUUCGGUCCAAAGAUUUAUCGCCGAGGGAUGGGCCCGCGUAGGAUUAGCUUGUUGGUGGGGUAAUGGCCUACCAAGGCGACGAUCCUUAGCUGGUCUGAGAGGAUGAUCAGCCACACUGGGACUGAGACACGGCCCAGACUCCUACGGGAGGCAGCAGUGGGGAAUAUUGGACAAUGGGCGAAAGCCUGAUCCAGCAAUGCCGCGUGAGUGAUGAAGGCCUUAGGGUUGUAAAGCUCUUUUACCCGGGAUGAUAAUGACAGUACCGGGAGAAUAAGCUCCGGCUAACUCCGUGCCAGCAGCCGCGGUAAUACGGAGGGAGCUAGCGUUGUUCGGAAUCACUGGGCGUAAAGCGCACGUAGGUGGCUAUUCAAGUCAGGGGUGAAAGCCCGGGGCUCAACCCCGGAAUUGCCUUUGAAACUAGGUAGCUAGAAUCUUGGAGAGGCGAGUGGAAUUCCGAGUGUAGAGGUGAAAUUCGUAGAUAUUCGGAAGAACACCAGUGGCGAAGGCGACUCGCUGGACAAGUAUGACACU